UGAGGCUCUGCUGGCGCUGCCGGACCUGUCGACGGCGGAGGACCGCGAGCAGCUGGCCGGCAUCACCUCGCUGGCUGCCGCUCUGCAGGAGCUGGCCGCCUCCGCCGACGGCGCGGCCGGCCCGGGCGCCGCGCCGCGACGGGAUCCUGUUCCAGACUUUCUGCGACCCCUGCUCCCUGCACAGGUGCCCUUCCUUGUCCUGGUGAUUGUCUUUCUUGAGUUGCAUGGAGACACACCGCCUGCUGAUCAAAUAUGGCUGCACAGCCAAGGCCAGGAUGUGGACAAUGCAAGAGGAGCAUUGUGUCGUCCAUAGGAGGCAUUGGCUGUGUGUCCUUAUGCUGGAUGGGGAAUGCUUCUCUUACACCUUGAGAAGCAUCUGCAGCUAGAGUAAAAUAUGUGAUGUUGCCUUCCUGUGUUCCUGACAAUGGUUGCGCUGCGUAAAUUAUUAGUAUUUCUUUUCUGCAAGCAGGAAUGCAAUUUAUGUUGCUGUGUCAUGAGCAGGCUUCCGAGGUGGCGGCACUGCUGCAAUGGCUUGGGGCAGAGC
rnacentral:lncRNA from 1 species